UUUUUCCUACGGGGCGCAGCAGUAGGGAAUUUUCGGCAAUGGGGGGAACCCUGACCGAGCAACGCCGCGUGAAGGAAGAAAGAAUUCGUUCUGUAAACUUCUGUUAUAAAGGAAGAAAGACGGAUGGAGGAAAUGACAUCCGAGUGACGGUACUUUAUGAGAAAGCCACGGCUAACUACGUGCCAGCAGCCGCGGUAAUACGUAGGUGGCAAGCGUUAUCCGGAAUUAUUGGGCGUAAAGAGGGAGCAGGC
rnacentral:rRNA from 1 species